AUGGCAGCUGUUUACAACAAGCAUCUGCUAACUGGACUGAGAAAAAACAUGAGAGGUGACAACUGCAUAUGUUCAUUACCCUGAAGCUAUUAGCCUAUAUCAUAUGUUGCCACGUUGCCAUGGAUCCCUUUUGAAAACAACUGCACUUCUUUUUUGGUUGUUUUCAAACGUCUCAGGCUCAAGCGCAGAAUAUUAACACAUAAGGAAGAGAAAGAGCUAAGACUCUGCAACAUUUAGGCUUUAUUACUUCCUCUACGUAUGCACAGUCUUCUCUCAUUGAGCACUUUCUGAAAAUAGAGUUCUCAAUGAGUAUGUCUACACAGCAGCUGGUAGAUGCAAUUCCCAGCUGUGGUAGAUGUACAUGCACUAACUCUGCUCAAGUUAGCACCAAAAAAUAGUAGUGAGGCUGUGGCGGCAAGGGUAGUGUCUUGGGCUACCCACCCAAGUACGUAGCCAGGGGGUCAGGAGGGAUAAUACUCAAAUGGCAGCUCAGAUAGCCGCUCAUGUUGCUACACCUAUACUGCUAUUUUGAGGCAAUAGCUCAAGCAGAGUUAGCAUAUAUACCAGGUGGUGUCCAAACUGUGGCUUGUGAGCUGCAUAUGGCUCUUUGACUGUUAAAGUGUGGCUCUCAGAGCCCCCUGUGAACCCCCAUUCUCGACCUGCCAGACUGGUCGGGGACAGCUCGGGGCUUCUGCCUGCAGCGAGGUGGUUGGGCUAGGGGCUUCUUCUGUCCAUCUGUGCGGGGGGGUCUCAGGGCUUCAGUCACAGGAGUGGGGCUGAAGUCCCGAGCCCCAGUCGGCACCUCCCAUGGGGCUGAAGCCCCGAGACCCCCUGCAGCCCUGGGCAGAAGUUCCUAGCCCCACCACCGGGCUGAAGCCGGGAGCCCCAGAAGGUGCACCCUGGCUCUUGAACUUCUGAAGGUUGUCGUAUAUGGCUCGGAGGCUCAGGAAGUUUAGCCACCCCGACACAUACAUUUCCCUGAGUGGGAAUUACACCUCCUAACUUCCAUGUAGACAUGCCCUACGACAUUACCCUAUAUCUAGGCAUACUAUCAUCCUGUAAACACCCCUUACUAGGAAACUAUCUAUCAUAACACAGCCGUAAGCACAGAAUGGUUUAAAAGAAAAUUUGCUUUUAAAUAUAUUAAUGAACUCCAUGUGGUUGCAUUAGCAACAGAAACUUCUUAAAGGUUGCAGACUGUAGGCCUGAGCUUAUACCACUGAAGUCUAUACGAGUGGUUUUUUUUCUCCAUAGACUUCAAUGGGAGCAGGAUCACAAUCCUCUAUUCUCAGUGCACUCUGCAUGAAAGUUGGAGGGGAACUGGAUUAUUGCUGCAUUAUUCUACCGUAGAGGAGUGGAAGACACUUGCUAGCAUCAGCAGCUGGAAUGAGCAGUUGUAAGAAAAGUCCUGUACAGCUCCAACUUGAAGCAUGCUCAUUGUGGACAGAAUCUUCAGAGAAUUUAGCUGCAAAACUCUAACAGGUGUCUACUGAGCAUGUGUGAAUUGUGGUUUCCAGAGGCUCAUAAUUUGGCUAGGUGUGGGUGGAUUUUCUGGGGGGACAUUAAAAGGCACAUCCUUCCAUAAGUAGUGUGACACACACACACACACGCUAAAUUUCAAAUUGCUGCUUCAAAGCAUGAAGGCACUAGCGCUUUUCCAUGAAACAAUUGCAUGCAUUUUUUUAAAAACAUAGACUAAACAAUGCAUUAUUCCCUAAUUUCAUUCUUCAAUACCACUGAAGCAUUUUACCUGAAACUUAAAAAUAGUUUCUGGCAGACACCUACCCAUGAAACAUUUCAGACCAAACAGUUAAAAUUUGGCAAAAAUUAUAAGCAACUGAAGACAGAGUCUCAUAACAGGAAAUGUUAGGCAACCUUACUGUAGGUGCACUAUCAUUUCUGCCUCUAUGAAUAAGAAUGAAAAUAAUCUGGUUAAGAAGUUUCAACCCCAUCUCAAAAAUAAGGAGAUUUAAUAUCAGAAACUGUUUUUCAGGUAUUGUUGUUCCAUGUAUAUUUAUUUAACUACAGCCAUUCCAAGUUGACUCUAGUCUAAUCAACUCCUUGUCUGCUUCCUCCACCAGCAGCAGGACUAGCCCAUGUCAGAAAACAUGGCUAUCAUUUGUGAAGGCAAGUGCCAAACUGCAAACAGUUUUAAUUCACACUACUGAAAGCAGUGACUGUAUAUGCAAAAUAUGACAUCUGAGAAGUAUAUAACAUUUGCCUUGUAGAAGGACUUGCCAAGUAAGAGAGGAGAUAAAUGAGCAACUAGACUAAUGGAAAUAACAGACUUAAAACUGAAAGGGACAGAAACCAAACAGAGUACAGCACCUAAGAUAUAUUUGAAGAAAUGUACUAAGAAUGGAAAACAUCUAGCAGAGAGAGUCAGUGAAGCAUGUAGUAAUACAAUUAAUUAUCUGGAGAGCUAGUUGAACAAGUUGUAAGAAAUUAGUGAAAUGAAUAAUAAUUAGGAACACCUGAUAACUAGUAAAAUAGUGUUUAGAGGGAAAAAAUAGAAUCUUGCAGUGCUAUUAUCUUAUUCUAUUAUGCUAUUAUGUUGGACUCCCUCUGGGUGUUGUUUUCUGUUCUGUUUUCAUUCCAUCACCUCCAACCACCUACUUCUAUGCUGGAUGCAAGCAGAUGUUCUUAGAAAUGUAGAUCUCUGGAGCUACCUGUGAUAGUCUGUCCACCUUUUUUCCCCCCUCUCAGUUGCAACUUUCCCAGCCCCCACAUUGUCAGGAUGUUUAGCCCUCAUUAGCGGAGUUAGUUGCUUGUGAACUUUUCUGCCUAAUUGUCAAAAAGAUUUUAUGUUUUUAAAAACAGCGGUAGUCAUAGUUCAGACAGUUACAAGUACAUGCUAUAACAGAUCAAAUAAGAAGUAAAAAUCUUGAUCAAGCCAGAGGACACAUGAGAGAAGUACUACCUGAGUUUUCAUUAAACAGAUCUGCUGUAUAUAUAGAUCCUUAUGUGUGUAUGAGGGAUUCAAAGAAGCCACAUUUUCCCACCUGAAAAUUCCCUUGUCACUGAUGCUAAUCUGAUUUAGUGAACCCCAUCCCCACCUGCAGCUCCCGCUUUUGUGCAGGUGGGGAAGCAAAGCUACAGGACAGUGCCCUUCAGCUAUACCCAGCUGGUGUGCAUUAAAAUCACCACCACCAGGGUUUAGGGUGAGGUCAAUCUGCCCUGAGAAUUAUGGAGCCAUGACUACUCUCACCUCUUCCUCUCUCUUUGCUGUGCCAAAUGAAUCUGUGCCACAGUCCAUCUUAGAAACUCAUAUGGCCUCAUUACUGUAAUAUCUUAGUAUCUCACAAUCUUUAAUGUAUUUUAUCCUCACAACCCCCUGUGAGAUAGGGAAGUGUUAUUAUCCUCAUUUCAUAGGUAGGGAACUGAGGUACAGAGAGAUUAAGCGACUUGCCCAAGGUGACACAGGAAGUCUGUAAUGGAGCAGGGAAUUGAACCCCAUUCUCCUGUAUUCCAAUUUAGUGCCCUAACUAUUGGACAAUCUGAUAUAACUGGCUGAGGAAAGGUAUCAGACAGCAUCAUCUAUUGUCCCUCAAUGUAGUUGCAAUCCAAGAUUCUAUAUGGCUGGAGCUGAUUAAAGUACAAAAGAAACAGGCUAAACCUCAAGAUGCUUAUAACCCCUGCUGAAUUGCCAUGGGAAUCUUAUAACUGUGAUGCUGGAAAACCAGCUAAACUGUAUAUGAUCCUUAGAGGCUUAACAAGUGGCACUUCAGUUGUAAUCAGGACAAUUCACUUGUGUGUGGGUAUCAAAGAAAUGUUAAGUAGACCAGCAAUCACUAUCCCAUUCAUUUGUAGUAAUAGGAAUCAAGAGUAGAUGCGAAGUGUGUUUGUCUGUGUGCCUAUGUCUUGUUUGAAGUUUACUAAUGUCAUCAAAUUAGCUUUUAGAUACUAAAUCCUUUUUAUGUCUUAAUUGUCUUUACAUUAUAUAUGCGGCUCUGUUCAGUCAACCUUAAGAUCAAAGAUGUAUAAACACUGCAUGAACUAAUGAUAUUACUUAUAUUGUCUUCAUCUUAUCUAUUCCUAUUAUAACAAGUGACCAGCAAUUGCUUUAUGUAAAUCAGUGUAGAGGAAUUGCCUGUGUAUGCAUAGGAAAUAUUAUGUUAACUUAAAAGGAUGAGUCCUUGUGGGCUCAAUAAAGAGGAAUCUUUGAACACAUGUUGUGCUCAAGAAACUUGGUAGCUUGUUUCAACUAUAAAAAAGAGGCGUUGGGUAUGAUCCUGUAAUCUCUAGUCUGCUGAACUUUUAAACAGGGAAAGUUUAAGCCAUGAGAUGGAGAUCUCCAAGAAACUACUUGGAUUGCCCUGGAUAAUUCAUGGAAGGCCUCUAAUAGACUCUACAUCUAAGAUGUUUUUUGGACUCUAAUCUUUUUGGGUGAUCCAGAGAGACUCAUUGCAGGCUAGCAGAUUUAACAUUACUGCUAUUAUCCGGAUCUACAAACUCUGAAAUUAACCGUAAUGUAUAUGAUUCAUUUUAACCUCUUAAUAACUCUUCCCUUUUUAUUUUAAUAAAGGUUUAUGUUUUAAUUAUUAAAGGAUUGGCUAUCAGUGUGAUUUGGGGGUAAAAUCUGAAGUAUAUUUUAACCUGGGGUGUGUCUGAGCCUUUGUGAUUGGAAGAACUUUAUAUGUGAUUUCUGGUUUUAAUAAUUAUUUAUCACAGAAAUCUGGUUGUCUGGGUGGUAAACCGGGGACUGUGUUUGGGCUUCUUGUUAACCAGUGGUGAUGCAGGAGCUCACUUUUGUUACUGGCUUGGUGAAAUCUAAUUCUAGAAUAGGCCACCAGUUUUGGAUUGUUUCUUACAGUCUGCCCUGAAUUUGGCCUUCUCAUGGGUGACCCAUACCAGCAUGGCAAUAACAAAGGGAGUCACCUCACUAAUAUAGUGAAGGGAGAUACCCUGUUGAGAAGAGGCUAUUGAAGAGGAAUUACAUCCUUUGGAAUUUUGAUAAUCCAAAUAAAUUAAACUGGACAAAACCUUCAGUUUCAGGCAUUUCCACUUCUGAAGCCUCAGCUUCCAAGGCAUGAGUGUCCAUUGACUUCCUCCACAAAUGAUUUUCAACACUGUUAAAAUUAUAGAUUUGGGGUACUUCUGGUGGAUGAAA